rnacentral:rRNA from 1 species
CCUACGGUGGGCUGCAGUGGGGGAUAUUGCACAAUGGGGGGAACCCUGAUGCAGCGACGCCGCGUGGGUGAAGGAGCGUUUCGGCGCGUAAAGCCCUAUCGGCAGGGAAGCAGGAGGACGGUCCCUGACUAAGACGCCCCGGCUGAUUACGUGCCAGCAGCCGCGGUAAUACGUAGGGGGCACGCGUUAUCCGGGUUUACUGGGGGUAAAGGGGGCGCAGACGGCAGCGCAAGCCAGUAGUGGAAGCCCGGGGCUCAACCCCGGGACUGCUCUUGGAACUGCGCGGCUGGAGUGCAGGAGGGGCAGGCGGAAUUCCUGGUGUAGCGGUGAAAUGCGUAGAUAUCAGGAGGAACACCGGUGGCGAAGGCGGCCUGCUGGACUGCGACUGACGUUGAGGCCCGAAAGCGUGGGUAGCAAACAGGAUUAGAUACCCGAGUAGUC